GCAGCACUAGUGUAACGGUAGCUCACCUGAUUGCCAUUCAGGAGGUAGGGGUUCGAUUCCCCUGUGCUGCU
rnacentral:tRNA from 1 species